CAUAUUAACCUUAAGGAUCACGAAUGACAAAAAAUAAUAUUAAGGAUGCAAUCUGAUAGUUUCAUAAACCUUAAAAAUAUUUUGUGAUAAUAAGCCUAUAGAUUAUAAUAAUAGGUAAGCCUGUGGUGGCAGUUCAUUUGGGGGUCAUCAAGGCAACAAGAAAGUCUCUGUAAUCCCACGAUGGGAUGUUGUCACUGUCACAUAGUGCAUCUCUGAGUUCAAUUUCAUACAAAAACACAAUAAUCUUUGAUUGAGAAUAAGGGAGAAGAAAGAAGAAGACAUGAAAAGCACUUACCUUGCACUUGUAGAAGAUUUCUAGAUGAGAAAGAAUGAUAGAGGGUUUGGGGUUAGAGAGAAUCGCAAGGAUUUGGGGUCGGAUAGAACCAGAGGGGGUUUUGGGUUAUUUGAAAGAUAAACCAACCCCAGAGGUCAUGGAAUAGUACCAAUAACCUAAGAAGCUAUUUUAAAAAAACAGAUUAUGAAAUAAAACAUCAACCCAUCCAUAAUUCAUUUUAUACAAAGGAAGGAGAAACAUAACCAACAUCGAAGAAUAGAAUUCACGACCUGAGAUGAUGUGGAAUAGGAUCAAUAUUAUUGACAAAAGUAGGGGAGUAACACAUACGUUCAUCUGCCCAGCAGUCAUGACCAUGUUUAAAAAUAAAUAGCAAACACGAACCAUUUUCAUAUAUUGGAUCCAAAACCAUUGGCAUGCUCAAGAAAUAACUUUCUGCAAACGUUUUUCGGUGCACCUGUGUCAGCUUGUCUAAUGACCGAUUUUUAUAGGCCAACUACCCCUAUCAGAAUCACAAUUAUAUCCAACUCACCUCAUACGCUAGUGAGAGUGUUCAUUUACCAAUUACACCCCGUCGACUAAACUUCGCACGUAGGAUACUGCUAAAGCCGGGCCGCAUAACCCCUUCGAAGGUUUAGAGGAUCGAAACGCAGGAUGGAUGCUACGCCCCCAUCACCCACAUGUCAUCUAGGAUAUUGCUCACAAGCAAGCACCCUCCAAUCUCAACUAUCCAUAAUGACAACAAAAAAUAAAAAUAAAUAAAAAAUAAAAAAUCUCAAGCAUCCAUAAAACCAAGCACAUAUGGCAACCAAAAUAAUGCAACUUUUGCACACAACAUUAUUUAUCAUGUCAUACAUACACAAAAUACAAGUUCGGGAGUGAAUCCCCCUACCUGAAAUCCAAAGCUUAAGACUGACUUGUGGUAUGUGCCUUCAAGCUCAAAUUUUCCUUGCUUGGGCAACUAAUUCCUAGUCCAACAUUCAAAUAUGUUACUAAAAAUUCUUUUUUUAAAUUUAGUCCUUAUACUUAUACUUAUACUUAUCUUUAAUUGCACUUUGAUCCUCAUACUUAUCAAUAAUUUCUGUUAUUUACACUUUGGCCCUUAUACUUUUUCCAAAUUACAUUUUAUUCGUCAUACUUUUUAAUACUUGUAAAUAGAUCCUUGAAGUCUCAAGUAAUUGCAAUAUAGUCCAUGUACUUUAUGAAAAUCACAAAAUCAUCCCAAAGUCCUUGAAUUUCCAUUCAUGAUCCCAAAACAGUAAGUUUCACGGUACGGUAUGGUUUGAAAAUGUGCGAGUUCUUUUACGUCUUUUCUUUUUCCACAUUCAUUUUUUAAUAUGGUCAUAAAAGUAUGCAUCCAAUGCAGCUAGUUUCUCAAUACAAACUUGAAAAGGUAACAACAAAUUCCCAAUAAGAUCAGGUUCUCAUAUUAAAUUUCCGAAAAGAAUAACACGACAAGGGCUUCUCCAACUUCACAUGCAAGUCAGUAAGGAAGGCCAUAGAGAAUUAGGAUCACCACUUCCUGAAUUGUCUCAUCAAUGACUCGAUGCAGAUUGGCUAUGAACCUUUUCUUGUGAACAUGGGAGUCACCCCACAAAUACAAAGGAAGCUGGUCAGAAUCGCAAGUCAAAAUUACAAGCUAAGACCGCAAGGAAAAACCCUAACAGAGGAGAGAGAAAGAAAGAACAAAAAUGAUGAGAGGAGAAAAGGAGAGGAGAUGGGAGUAAAAGAGGAAAUGAUGAGAGAGGAGGAUCUCCUGCCAGAGGGACGGUCCCAUGAACAUGGUAACCUGGGCCAUAGUCUAGGGAACAUUUUUUUAUAUAGACUAAAUUAAUCCUGUCAUGCCUCGGAUUCGGGGGUCGGCAGAAACCCCGAGCCCGGCGCGUGAGAAAAAAAAAAAACAUUCUGUCACGCCCCGGACCCGAGGGUCGGCAGAAACCCCGUGCCCGGGGGGUGAGAAAAUAAAAUAAAAAGAAGCCGAGACAUGAGUUUAAAAUAAACUUCUCUUAUAAAAAUAGCUCCCAAAAUCUUACAACUUUACAAUAAAUAAAUACAGCUCUAUUACUCUCAUUUAAUUCAGCCUCAACUGGUUAACUCCUUUUCUUGCCCACUAAUUCAUCUGAAAAAUUAAACAGGGUGAGGGAUGAGCAACCACAUCUCAGUAGGGACAUGAGACCUUAUCACAGUAAAUUGAUAUAACUAAAUUAAGUGACAUGCAAUCACACAGCCAAAUAUCAUAUUAAUAAUAAUAAUAAUGCAUGAAUGCUCUUCAUCUACUCCCGUUAAUUCAUAUAACUAGACAAGCAGACCUGCAAGUCCCAUACCAUGCUUAUACCACUUGGUCCCGAAUGCCCAUUUAUAUGAACUAACACCCAUUUCAAUCAUUCCAUAAUUCCCCUUUUGUUAGUCAUCUUGUCUAACUCCCUUUCGCCAGUCCCGAAUCACCCAAUAAAAACCAUGUGCACUGUGGGAUCCCUGAGGCCUGGUACCUGCCAAGAGUUAGACUCAACUACACAAAAGACUAUAUCCAUUACCCUCUUUUCCAUUAUUAUCUUCUCCACCCAACAACUCCAACCAAUUACCAUGACAUGAUAUAAUUAUGCCUUCCAUGUAUCUCACAACAAUGUAACAUUUAAACAUCAUCAAUAUACAUAUAAUCAUAUCACGCAUAAUAUAGUGCUCACGAAAUUUAAUUAGAUCGAUCUCUGUAAAAGGUCCUCAAGAAACCUCUACCUCGAUUCCAAAGCAUUGCUUCAAUUUAAAAAAACACAGCAA
rnacentral:lncRNA from 1 species